UUGGUUUGGUUGAGCUUUUAUUCAGUGGAGUUUGUUUUGAAACAGGGUCUCACUAUGUAGUUCUGGUUGGCUUCCAGCUCAGAGACACGCCUGCCAAAAGGGUUCUUGAAGAAUCUAUUAGAGCAAAAGGAGCUUCCUGUGGCGGCACGUGCUAAUAACCCCAGGAACUGGGAACCAGAGACAAAGGAACGACAGGCUUGAAGCCAUCGUGGACUACGUGGAGAAUUCUAGCAUACAGAGGGGACUCCCGCAUCACCCCACCUUGCCGCUUCAUCAUCUCAAGGAAGGUUCUGAGUCACCUUGCCCUCUUCCCUUUGGUCGGACUUCAGAGCUCUGAGUCAGCUGAUUAACUAGGAACCACAGACCUCAGGCCCCAAGGGAAUGUCAGUGAAAGGCAUGGAGAGAGAAUCUUGGCUAUAGUCACUACCAACAGCUUGUGAGUACCACAGCAGAAAUAGAGCUCUGAGUCCCACCGUAUGCUAGCCGCCUGGGGAGCAUCCAACACAGAGCCAGCGGAGCCUCCAUGAAGCAGGCAUGUCCUUUUCUACAGGGCUGGGAGGCUGAGAUCUGGCUGAAGGAGUGAACUGAGCCCCAGCAGCCAGCCAGUUGCCUGUGACUGGUAAGAGUACCGAUUAGUCUAAAAAGUGGGUAGGGAACUCGAAACAGUGUAGCCACCUCCAGGCCGGAGGUCAACAACAGGUGCACAAUGUGGUGUUGUUCAAGUAAAGGAGACAGGAAAAGGUAGUGCAUGGGGGUAGAAAGCUUUGGCAUGCAAUUCCUGGGGAAAGGAAGAGAGGGCUGAGAGUACCUGGCAGAAAAAUGGGGACGUUCUUCUGUGCUUCCUUCUUCCCCUUCCCACCUAGGGGUUCACGAUGUAACCAGGACUGGCCUCAGACUGACAGACCUCCUUCUUCCACCCAGUGCUGGAAAAACAAGCGCGUGUCACCACACCUAGGUAGACACUCUACCUAGAAGUGCAUUCUGGAAAGUUCCUGCCUUAUUCAGAGAAUAAGGGAGGGAAGGAACACUCACUCAGUCUAGAGGGAGUGAUUCGGGCAGGAAGCAAUGAUUUUACAAACCCGAGAGUGGGUUUGGAUUUUACUUCAUUGGAAACCAGGAUCGAGAGUAGAGGCUCACACACUCAGCCCCUUGCAGCUCUGGAUGCACGGAGGGAAAGGAAGCAGUUCUGGCAAGGACAGCAUGUCAUGUCUUUAUAACCCACUGCAUAUACACAUGUGCACACAUGGAAUGGGUGGAAAAGGAAGCUAGAGGGGCCCUGGGUACCCCACACUGGUGCUGUUUUAGGGAGGUGACAGAGGACUCUCACUGAGGACUUCUUGUGGGAGGGUCUUCUGUAGGUGGACUUUUCUAUCCUCCCAGCCAGUUACUAAAUUACCACACAGAGAUAAUUAUUGAUUAUUAAUUAUAAAAGAUCAGCUGGUAGCUCAGGCUUGUUACUAACUAGCUCUUACAUUUUAAAUUAGCCCAUAUUUCUUAUCUACGCUCUGCCACAUGGUGGUAUCUUUUUUCAUUGUUCUGGGCAGGGGU